rnacentral:tRNA from 1 species
GUGGCCUUAGCUCAGUUGGUAGAGCACCUGACUGUUAAUCAGGUUGUCGCUGGUUCUAAUCCAGCAGGCUACG